UACGUAGGGGGCGGGCGUUGUCCGGAUUUAUUGGGCGUAAAGAGCUCGUAGGCGGUUCGGCAAGUCGAAUGUGAAAUCUCCACGCUCAACGUGGAGGGGCCAUCCGAUACUGCCGUGACUGGAGUCCGGUAGGGGAGUGUGGAAUUCCCGGUGUAGCGGUGAAAUGCGCAGAGAUCGGGAGGAACACCCGUAGCGAAGGCGGCACUCUGGGCCGGUACUGACGCUGAGGAGCGAAAGCGUGGGGAGCGAACAGG
rnacentral:rRNA from 1 species